AAAGUAACAGAUAAGAACUUUUAAUUAACCAGAAUGCCCUGUUCCCCUACUGGAUUAUGGUGUGGAGUGCAACCGAACCAAUGGCGACCACAUUAUUUUUUCUAGGCUUUUACCAUCCUGCUGACAAUGUAGAUCCCUAAUUAACAGUGAAGAACCAGCCCUGGGAGUCCCCCUGGCAACAUGCUUUGAGGGCACGGUGGUGGGAGGACCAAACCACUGACCAAAAGAAAGAGCCUAUCGGGAGCACUCCAGGCACCUACUACCUUUGUCCUUUAUAGAAUCAAGCUACAUGCUAAAGGUAGGCUGUGAUUAUUUACUGAAGGUCUUUGUGAGAAAUAUUCUCAUGAAAAUUACAUAUGCAACUGUUAAUAAAACACCUAUCAAAGUUACUGUCCACCUUCCUACUCAAUGUCUUUAUACAGUAUUCCACGGGAGAAAUAUUUAGACUCUGAUGCCUGGAAAAUCUUUGUCUUUCCAGAGAUCCCACUCAUUUCCUUUUUGGUGUCCCAUGUGGACUAAUACAAGUGCAGAAAGGAAAUAAAAGCAAAAGGUCUUCAGAUAGCUGUGGGAGGAACGCAAAGGAAGCCCUGCCAGAGAACUGGACGAAGCCCACCCAGAGAAGAGGUAUGGGGGUGUGGAGGAAGCAGGGGAUGCUCAGCUGGGGGAACCGGAGCAGCAGCAAGAAUGCAGCAGAUGCCUAUGAACAUUUCAAACUCCAGCCCGUGCCAACUCAAAAACCUCAACAUUUUGAGUCACUUAACUCUGACACAAUAAAGCAAAAUUGGUUACCUAUCUCCGAAUCUGCAAGCUCCUGUUUUACUGUAGAAUGGACAAUUAGCUCGAUCUUUU